AAAACGGCACUUUUCAGUGCUACUAAACAGUACUUUUCAGUACUUUU
rfam:Aedes aegypti strain Liverpool supercont1.11 genomic scaffold, whole genome shotgun sequence.